AAUGAGCUAGAAAUCAUAUAGCCUAGCAGUAUUUCUCACUCUUCAGUCCUCUCUUCAUGACAGUAGACGUGUUUCGCUCAGUGGAGCCCCAGUUAGAGAAAGAUAUGAUACCUGCAGUGAUAUUGGUGAUCCUGUUCUGGAGCACAGAUCUCCAGGCUCAAAGCGUCAGUCCACCAGAUCUCCAGGCUCAAAGCGUCAGUCCACCAGCUGAACUCUCAGUCAGACUGGUGAAUGGAACCACUUCCUGUUCUGGGACAGUGGAAGUCUUCUAUGAAGGAGAGUGGUUAGGUCUUUGUACUAGUUGGUGGAGCAUAAUGAAAGAGGUCAGGUUUGUGUGUAGAGAGCUGGACUGUGGGAAUCCUGUAGCUGAAUCUAUUGGACCUCUGAUUGAAGAUGGAAAACAAAGAGUCAUACUAGGUGGUUGCUAUGGAAAUGAGUCUUCUGUUAGACAGUGUGACAUUGUAAGAGGAGGACCUGGUGGCUGUAAUGGUAGAACUUAUCAUCAUGUGACCUGUUCAGGUAAGAGACUGGUCAUAUU